AUUGAACGCUGGCGGCAGGCCUAACACAUGCAAGUCGAGCGGAUGAAGGGAGCUUGCUCCUGGAUUCAGCGGCGGACGGGUGAGUAAUGCCUAGGAAUCUGCCUGGUAGUGGGGGAUAACGUCCGGAAACGGGCGCUAAUACCGCAUACGUCCUGAGGGAGAAAGUGGGGGAUCUUCGGACCUCACGCUAUCAGAUGAGCCUAGGUCGCAUUAGCUAGUUGGUGGGGUAAAGGCCUACCAAGGCGACGAUCCGUAACUGGUCUGAGAGGAUGAUCAGUCACACUGGAACUGAGACACGGUCCAGACUCCUACGGGAGGCAGCAGUGGGGAAUAUUAGACAAUGGGCGAAAGCCUGAUCCAGCCAUGCCGCGUGUGUGAAGAAGGUCUUCGGAUUGUAAAGCACUUUAAGUUGGGAGGAAGGGCAGUAAGUUAAUACCUUGCUGUUUUGACGUUACCGGCAGAAUAAGCACCGGCUAACUUCGUG
rnacentral:rRNA from 1 species